CGCAACACUCCAACGACCGGAUG
rnacentral:siRNA from 1 species